AUUUAUAUAGUUUAAAGUAAAACAUUACAUUUUCACUGUAAAAAUAAAAUAUUCUAUUUUUAUAAAUA
rnacentral:tRNA from 1 species